rnacentral:rRNA from 1 species
UACGGGGGGGGCAAGCGUUGUUCGGAAUUACUGGGCGUAAAGGGCUCGUAGGCGGCCAACUAAGUCAGACGUGAAAUCCCUCGGCUUAACCGGGGAACUGCAUCUGAUACUGGAUGGCUUGAGUUCGGGAGAGGGAUGCGGAAUUCCAGGUGUAGCGGUGAAAUGCGUAGAUAUCUGGAGGAACACCAAUUGCGAAGGCAGCUCGCUGGGACGUUACUGACGCUGAGACGCGAAAGCGUGGGGAGCAAACAGG